UACGUAGGGGGCAAGCGUUGUCCGGAAUCAUUGGGCGUAAAGAGCGCGUAGGCGGUCCGGUAAGUCCGCUCUGAAAGUCCGGGGCUCAACCCCGGGAGGCGGGCGGAUACUGUCGGGCUAGAGUCCGGAAGAGGCGAGUGGAAUUCCUGGUGUAGCGGUGAAAUGCGCAGAUAUCAGGAGGAACACCAAUGGCGAAGGCGGCCUGCUGGGUUCUGGCUGACACUGAGGCGCGACAGCGUGGGGAGCAAACAGG
rnacentral:rRNA from 1 species